ACAGGAAGCGCCAAAGGGCAGCUGAAGCAUUAAAGCAGCCCCGUCCAGAUCCUGGAGGGGCUGGGGUCAGGGCAAUGCAGGCUGUGUGAUCAUCACAAGAGGGUGAGACGUGUCAUGAGAUGCCACACCCACAGAAAAUGGUGCCCCAAAGGAAGUUGUUUCUUCUCACCAGAACAGCAUCCCAGACCUAUUGCAACAUUUACUAUUUUUGUGAGGAGUGCCAGGCAUCCUUUGAAAUCCUUCCGGCCCUGGGAUGAAGACAAACCUGAGAUACCAACACAGCUGUGGAUCAUCUGUGGGAAAAAGUCGACGACAUCCAAGCCCGUGGCAUUCAGUUGCCUCACGUUCAUUUUGGUUGUGAUGCAUUUAUGUGUAGACGCUGCUUGGCUGUUUUACAUUGUUUAAUUGUUUGUAUUUUAACUUUCUUCCUGAUUUUCCUUGCAGUCAAGAGUCUUCACAAUCUUUGAGGAGUGUU